CCACUGUACCCCCUCAGAGGGAAUCUUGCCCUUCCUCCCACCUCUUCCCCUCCUGCAAGGCUCCCUAGUCCACUCACCUUGCCGAAGGUCAAUUUCUGCCAGCUGCCCAUGAGUGUUGCCCACGAUCACUGAACUAAGGAGGAGACCAGAGGUGGCCUCUAGGACUGGCCGACGCUGGGGAGAGGCUGGAUCGUAGACACGGACCUGGAGAACACCGAAGCAUCACGAGAGCACCCUCACACCACAUACCCGUCCCUGGAUUGUCCGUAUCUUCACUCCCUCCUUCAUACACUGCUUUCUUAUGA